rnacentral:rRNA from 1 species
UGAGUACGAGAUGCUACGGCAUCGAAGCAGUCUAUGUCAUACUUCCAAGAAAAGCUUGCAAUGUCAUAAACAAAUAAUGCCUGUACCAUAACCGACACAGGUGGGUAGGUAGAGUAUACUAAGGGGCGCGAGAUAACUCUCUCUAAGGAACUCGGCAAAAUGACUCCGUAACUUCGGGAGAAGGAGUGCCUUAUUUUUAUAGGGUUGCAAUAACAAGAUCCAAGCAACUGUUUACCAAAAACACAGGUCUCCGCUAAGUCGUAAGACGAUGUAUGGGGGCUGACGCCUGCCCAGUGCCAGAAGGUUAAAGAAGUUGGUUAGCAUUAGCGAAGCUGAUAACUGAAGCCCUGGUGAACGGCGGCCGUAACAAUAACGGUCCUAAGGUAGCGAAAUUCCUUGUCGGGUAAGUUCCGACCCGCACGAAAGGCGUAAUGAUUUGGAUACUGUCUCGGAGAGGGGCUCGGUGAAGUAGACUUGUCUGUGAAGAUGCGGACUACCUGCACCUGGACAGAAAGACCCUAUGAAGCUUUACUGUAACUUGAGAUUGAAAUUGGACUUUAUCUGCGCAGUAUAGGUGGGAGACGUUGAAAAUAUUCUUGCGGGAAUAUUGGAGUCAUCAGUGAGAUACCACUCUUAUAAUGUUAGAUUUCUAACUUUGUAUCAUUAUCUGGUCAAAGAACAGUUUCAGGCGGGCAGUUUGACUGGGGCGGUCGCCUCCCAAACGGUAACGGAGGCGCACAAAGGUUUCCUCUGAACGUGUAGAAAUCGUAUCUAGAGUGUAAAGGCAUAAGGAAGCUUGACUGUUAGACCUACAAGUCGAGCAGGGACGAAAGUCGGUCUUAGUGAUCUGACGGUGCUGAGUGGAAAGGCCGUCACUCAACGGAUAAAAGUUACUCUAAGGAUAACAGGCGGAUCUCCCCCAAGAGUUCACAUCGACGGGGAGGUUUGGCACCUCGAUGUCGGCUCAUCGCAUCCUGGGGCGGUAGUACGUCCCAAGGGUUGGGCUGUUUGCCCAUGAAAGCGGUACGCGAGCUGGGUUCAGAACGUCGUGAGACAUUUCGGUCCAUAUCCGGUGUAGGCGUUAGAAUAUUGAGAGGAGCCUUCUUUAGUACGAGAGGACCGAGAAGGACAUACCUCUGGUGUACCAGUUAUCGUGCCAACGGUAAACGCUGGGUAGCCAUGUAUGGAGAGGAUAACCGCUGAAAGCAUCUAAGUGGGAAGCCCACCUUAAGAUAAG